CCUAUCUGGUUGAUCCUGCCAGUAGUUAUAUGCUUGUUUCAAAGACUAAGCCAUGCAUGCCUAAGUACAGCUUAGCCCGGAGGGUCUUGUCUCUUUCGGGCGCGGCGAAACCGCGGACGGCUCAUUAAAUCAGUUGUGGUCCAAAUGGGCUUUAGUUAUCUUUGGAUAACUGUGGUAAUUCCAGAGCUAAUACAUGCGACUCAGAUCCCUAGCGUGGCGAGUGCUUCGUGCGCUCGUUUAUGCGACGGAUGCUUUUAUUAGACCGAGGUGUACGCUCUAGUAGUAGGGCGCGUUUAGCUCCUUCUCUUGCUCGCGGCGACGCUUGCGGGGUGGGCGCGGCGCGUCUAUCAAUGCUGCUAGUGUGGUAUAUAGCUUCAAUGGUGAAUCUGGAUAACACCUUUAUGAUAAGCGCACGUUCUCCUGCGCGCGAGCGUAAUACGAGGGCGGCGCUGCCACUUUCGAGUGACUGCCUUAUCAGCUAUGUAACGUUUGUUAUGCGCAAACGUUGGCACUGACGGGUAACGGAGAAUCAGGGUUCGAUUCCGGAGAGGCAGCCUGAGAAACGGCUACCACGUCCAAGGACGGCAGCAGGCACGCAAAUUACCCAAUCCCAGCACCUGGGGGAGGUAGUGACGAAACAUACUGAUGCGAGCGCUUCUUCGGAGGCCUCGCAAUCAGAAUGGCUAUUUUCUAAAGACCCUAUCGAGAACCUACUGAAGGGCAAGUCUGGUGCCAGCAGCCGCGGUAAUUCCAGCUUCAGUGGCGUAUGCUAAAGUUGCUGCGGUUAAAAGGCUCGCAGUUGAAUGUCUGUUAUCGAGCGCAGAUUCGGGUCUCUAGACGUUGGUUCGUACAGAGGAGGGACACUCUCCGCGUAGCUGACAUCCUUGCGUUCCGCGCGUGGGGCGUCGGCGAAAGAGUUUGUUCCGCUCGUACUCUUGCGUUCCCGUCUUUAUCGUGUGCCCUCUCGCUCUAUGGCUUUACACGCGUAGACGCGCGUACUUUCCGAGAGCUCCCCGUGAGUUGGAAGAGAGUGCGUGUAUAUACGCGACGUCACCUUGAGUAAAUCAGAGUGCUCAAAGCAGUCGGUGAAAAUCGAACCCUUCGCGGGAUCGAUGCAAAGACGGUCUUUGCUUUGCAUGGUAUGUCGGAAGACGCCGCAUUCUCGUUGGUCUAUACAUCCCCGCUAUAUGCUACCGUCUCAACUUCUUUGGAGGUCGAGUCGAUGCGUACACGCCAACGAGUGCGGAAUGAGCUAAAAGGAACGGUCGAGGGCAUUGGUAUUGCGAGGCGAGAGGUGAAAUUCUAUGACCCCCGCAAGACCUCCGGAAGCGAAGGCGUCUGCCAAGGACGUUUUCAUUAAUCAUGAACGAAAGUUAGAGGAUCGAAGGCGAUCAGAUACCGCCCUAGUUUUAACCGUAAACGAUACCAACCAUCAAUCCGCGCGUAGCACCCUCGUGUCGCGAGAGAGGGUGAACCCUCUUCCGCGAUACAGUGCGGGCUCGGCGGGCAGCUCUUCUUUCACGGGAAACCAGAGUCUCUGGGUUCCGGGGGGAGUCUGGUUGCAAAGCUGAAACUUAAAGGAAUUGACGGAAAGGCACCACCAGGCGUGGAGCUUGCGGCUCAAUUUGACUCAACACGGGAAAACUUACCAGGCCAGCACGCUUGGAUGACUGACAGAUUGAAAGCUCUUUCUCGAUUAAGUGGAUGGUGGUGCAUGGCCGUUCUUAGUUGGUGGAGUGAUUUGUCUGGCUAAUCCCGAUAACGAACGAGACUCUAUCCUACUAAGCGGCGAGGCUAUUAGACGGCUGGAUCCUUGAAACACGUGUGUACAAAUAGACAGUGAGGGUCAACGCGGAGGAGCAAUCCGACGCUGCUUCACUUCGAGCACACAAGUCCGCCGUGGCUGCGCGUGGGUUCGUGUGCCUGUUUUCGAGGAUGGAGUUCCUCUGCUUUCGCUUCGCGUUAGUACGUUCUCCUCUCCUUGGCUUCGAGGCGCGCGUUCUUGCGCGUAGACAAACGUUGUUUCUUCUUAGAGGUAUUGACGACUCUACAUAAGUCGUACGAGACAGAGAGCAAUAACAGGUCUGUGAUGCCCUUAGAUGCCCUGGGCCGCACGCGAGCUACAAUGCCGGGUACAGCGGGUGUAAUGUCCUUCUCCGAGAGGAGCGGGUAACCCUCUGAAAGCCCUUUUGAUGCACGGCGCACUUCGCGUGUGUACGCGCAUCGCGGCUCGAUUGGGCCUGGGGCUUGCAAUUAUCUCCCACAAACGAGGAAUGCCUUGUAUUGGCUAGUCACUGAGCUUGCAGCGACUCAGUCCCUGCCCUUUGUACACACCGCCCGUCGCUACUACCGAUUGAGUGUACCAGUGAGAUUCUUGGACUGGCGAACCUUCUCUCUUGGCUACUCUUGAGAGAGGGCGACCGACGGGAAGAGACCCGAACUGGUGCACUUAGAGGAAGUAAAAGUCGUAACAAGGUUUCCGUAGUGAACCUGCGGAAGGAUCAUUA
rnacentral:rRNA from 1 species